GACGCGAAGAUUACACACGGCACGCAUC
rnacentral:sRNA from 1 species